rnacentral:tRNA from 1 species
GACGCGGUGCCGGAGUGGUUAACGGGUGCGCCUGCUAUUCAGCAGUCUCAGUGUAUAGGCUUUGCCUGCGUGAGUUCGAAUCUCAUCCGCGUCG